AGUGUAGCUCAGUUGGCCAGAGCACGUGAUUUGUAAUCUCGGGGUCGUGGGUUCGAAUCCCUCCACCG
rnacentral:tRNA from 1 species